rnacentral:rRNA from 1 species
AUUGAACGCUGGCGGCAUGCUUUACACAUGCAAGUCGAACGGCAACGCGGGCUUCGGCCUGGCGGCGAGUGGCGAACGGGUGAGUAAUACAUCGGAACGUGCCCAGUAGUGGGGGAUAGCCCGGCGAAAGCCGGAUUAAUACCGCAUACGACCUGAGGGUGAAAACGGGGGACCGAAAGGCCUCGCGCUAUUGGAGCGGCCGAUGUCGGAUUGGCUAGUUGGGGGGGUAAAGGCUCACCAAGGCGACGAUCCGUAUCGGGUCUGAGAGGGAGACCAGCCACACUGGGACUGAGACCGGGCCAAGCCCCCUAGGGGAGGCAGCAGUGGGGAAUUUUGGAAAAUGGGGGAAACCCUGACCAAGAAAUGCCGCGUGAGGGAAGAAGGCCUUGGGGUGGUAAACGGCUUUUGUUGGGGCAGAAAUCCUCUGGGUUAAUACCGCGGGGGGAUGAGGGUACCGGAAGAAUAAGAACGGGCUAAUUCCGU